GGCUCCAUAGUUCAGCGAUUAGCACGUUUGCUUUACACACAGAAGGUCCUGGGUUCCCGCCCCAGAUAGAGCCA
rfam:Pteropus alecto contig6411, whole genome shotgun sequence.